GUGGUGUGGAUGUUUAUUGGGCCUAAAGCAUCCGUAGCUGGCUAAGUUAGUCCCUUGUUAAAUCCACCGAAUUAAUCGUUGGAUUGCGGGGGAUACUGCUUAGCUAGGGGACGAGAGAGGCAGACGGUAUUUCCGGGGUAGGGGUGAAAUCCUAUAAUCCCGGGAAGACCACCAGUGGCGAAGGCUGUCGGCUAGA
rnacentral:rRNA from 1 species